AGUAUCAAAAAGCCCAUCAGGUUGCUCUCACAGCUUCAAUCAACAAAAGUUUUAAUCUUCAUCAUCAUCUUUCACAGCAUGUUUCAAUUCCUAUGGGUGUUAAAUUAGAAUAUCCCUUUUAUUAAAUUUUCAAUCCUCCUUUUGAUAAUAAUGGUAAAUUUUGUGAUUGUAUAUGAUUCUGAUUCUAAUUGUAAAUUGAUUCAAUUUGUCUUGGAAUGAUAUGAGUUUUGAGAUAAUAUGAUUGUAGAUUUGGAAUUUAUUCUAGCGAAUGAUUUUGGAUUUGGCUUGUUUUGUAUUAUUUUGGAUUGAAUUUGAAUUGUUUUUAUUUGUGAUAUAUUCUUGCUGGGAGAUCAAAUUGAGAAACGACAGUGUGUGAGAGAGACAAAGGGGUAUUUGAGUCAUUUUAUUAUGUUAUAACUAGGAAACCGAUUAUUACAAGUGAAAAGGACUUUUAUAUUUACUAAAUUUUUAAUGUUGUGAAGUUUUAUGUUACAAAUUAAAGUUU
rnacentral:misc_RNA from 1 species